rnacentral:rRNA from 1 species
UAGGGAAUCUUCGGCAAUGGGGGCAACCCUGACCGAGCAACGCCGCGUGAGUGAAGUAGGUUUUCGGAUCGUAAAGCUCUGUUGUAAGAGAAGAACGUGUGUGAGAGUGGAAAGUUCACACAGUGACGGUAACUUACCAGAAAGGGGCGGCUAACUACGUGCCAG